rnacentral:tRNA from 1 species
GGAGAUGUAGCUUAGUGGUAAAGCACAUGUUUAGCAUGCUCAAGGCCCUAGAUUUGAUCUCCAGAAUCUCCA